rnacentral:rRNA from 1 species
ACGCUCGACACCUACGGGAAGCAGCAGUGGGGGAUAUUGCACAAUGGGGGAAACCCUGAUGCAGCAACGCCGCGUGAAGGAAGAAGGUCUUCGGAUUGUAAACUUCUGUCCUCAGGGAAGAUAAUGACGGUACCUGAGGAGGAAGCUCCGGCUAACUACGUGCCAGCAGCGCGGUAAUCUGAGCGGGCUGGCAAGGC